GUUUGGAGUUCGGAUAGAUCAGACUCUUCGUUGGCCUCGUUUUUAGGUGUUUGAUCCGUGACGUUUCGUCGAAAAAUCACAAGCGCGCAUGCCGUAGGUGUUUGCCUGGUUGCAAGAUCUUGCCGAUUUCAACGUUUUUCCACCUCUUCGCACUUUCUUCUUUGGCUCCCCACCGCGCGCAGGUUGGCGUACGCUGAACUGGACCCUCGCAGCAAGAAUGGCACGUGGGAAUUGACACCGCGAUCGUGGAACACAUGGCUGAUCUGCCUCGAAUAACUGCAAGCCGGCGCGUGCGUAGUGCCGUGGAGAACGAUCAGAAGUCCUGGACGACAAAGAAAAAAACUUCAAAGCUGCCUCUGCGAACCUCGCUCCUGGACAACAGCUGGGAGGCUCUGUGUUUAAACGCGUGCACCUUGGACGUCAUGCUCCUGCCUCUGCAAGCCCUUUUGCUGGACGCCAUGGAAGGCCCUCCACUCGAAAGUGUGCACCUUAGACUACACGCUCAUCAAUACCAAGUUCUCUGUCCUUCUCGGCAUGAUUGUAGUGCCAUAUAAUAGUGAGGCAAUAAAUCAUUUUUGCUGGUCA